ensembl:lincRNA
CAAGUGUGUUCUCCACAGUCAUGCUGACUCUCAGUGUCUGCAGGGUAGCCACUGAGAAUUUACAGAGAGGUGUCUGGCACUUUGUGCAUCUUUGAGGGAUCCUCUGCAGGGCAGCACUUCUCUCCCAGGCCCAGGUUAUUAAAUGUGUUGCUCAGAUAUGGCAAACAGUGCAGCCUCCCACCAUUCUUUUUCCACCAAGACUCUGCUUUUCCAUUCUACUGAUCUCUCUGUGGUCCAUACUAUACCCUGAUGCUGCUUCUCUUUGCUACAUCCUCACUCUUGACAAAUCUGAGUCUGCACCAUGGGGAUUCAAAGUCCAGGGCCAACUGAACCAAGAGACUUUCCUUUCCUACAACAGUGUCAACAACUGUCAUGUGUUUGGUGUUCUGGGGAACAGAAUGAAUGCCACAAAGAUCUGUGACAAACAAGUUGACACUCUGAUAGAUGGAGCUGAGCUGAUCAAGCAGCAAGUGAUUCGAAUGAAUAAUAUAAUCAGAGAGCCCCUCACUCUGCAGGCCAAGAUGCAUUGUUGGCAUGAUGCAGAUGGACAUUUCAAUGCAUCCUGGGACAUUGACCUCAAUGGACAGAACAUUCUGCAUCUGGACUCAAGCACUGGGAAACUGACUGAAGUUGGUCCUGGAUCCAGCUGGAUUAAAGAGCUAUGGGAGGAAGACAGGGAUGUGACUGCCUUCUUAACAGUGACCUCACAGGGGACUGUGGGCCCUGGCUUCAGGGGGUCACGUUGCACUGUGAAGAAAAGCUGCAGCCUACAGCCUCACCAAAUGGUAUUCCUGAUGUGGACCAACCGCCUUUGUCACUGGCCAUCAAGCCCAACAUCUCUGUCCUGGUGAUAAUCCUCACCUGCUCCCUCCUGCUUCUUAACUGAGGAGAAGCCUUGACAAUGACAGGUACUGAGGACAGUGUUGGGAGUGGGGUGAGGGAAUGACGGGUGAGGAGUGAGGAAGCAGAGGGAAUUCCUGAAGUCCUACUCUUGUCCCUCAUCUAUAGCAUCUCAUUGAGAAAGGAGGCGGGAGACCUGGAGCUCAUGUCACCUGCUAGCAAUAGCUUGUGCAUGCUUGGCCUCGACUCAGCAGGAAUCAGGUCACAGAGCAGUGGGGAAUGAGGAGGCAACACAACAUGUACCUAAACACAGCAGGCUCCUAAUUGGGAGGUUCCCAUGGUACAGAUGAGGAGAAGCAGGAACAUAAAAGAACAUGGUAGUUCACCUCAAUGUGUAGAGGGAAGAAGAUUCCAACCCAAAGUUACAGAUAAAGACAAUACAAAUAAAGAGAUGGCCCAGUGGCAAAGCCACAUGUUGUUCAUGUAUCAACACAGGGUUCAAUUUCCAGCACCCACAUGGCAGCUCACAGCCAUUCAGCUCCAUCUCCAGGGGAUCCUGCCCCUUCUUCUGUACAGACACCAGGCAUCCUCACUGUGCACUUACAGACUUGCAGGCUCACACUCAUACACAUAAAAUAGAAAUGGAUUGAGCAGCAGCAGCUCCCAGAACCCCUUAAGCAGUGUCCCCACUGGAUGCUAGUGGGACUGAGCUGCUGCUGGGGUCAAUGCUGUCAUCUGAGCUGCCCAGAUGGACAAUGUGG